CUUACAUAUUGGAGUCUCCAUCUGGUUACAUUCCCUUCAGCUUGAAUAACACUCCUUAGCAUUUUCCUUAUUGCAGGUGUGCUAGUAACAAGUUCUUUCAACUCUUAUUUAUCUGAAAGUGUCUUUAUAUUUGAAGAAUAUUUUCACUGGACAUAGAAUUCAGGAUUGACAGAUUUGUUUCCAGAACUUUAAAGAAUGGCCACAUCUGUUGCUCAGUGGAUCCACAGUGCCUUCAGGAACUGUGAAGUUAACUGUCUCAUGGGAGAUUUCUGUUAAAAGAAUGUUCUUUCAUUAAAAGACCAAAAAGAAGUUAAAACUUAAAUUGGGUGAUUUGUGGGCAGCUAAAUGCAGCUUUGUUAAUAGCUGAGUGAACUUUCAAUUAUGAAAUUUGUGGAGCUUGACAAAAUCACAAAAGGAAAAUUACUGGGGCAAAAUUAGACCUCAAGUCUGCCUCUACUGUGUCUCACAUCACCAUGUAGAAGAAUGGGCGUACAGUAUAUACCGUGACAUCCUGAACCCUGGAUAGAAAGCCUGAGCCCAUUGGAUCUGUGAAAGCCUCUAGCUUCACUGGUGCAGAAAAUUUUCCUCUAGAUCAGAAUCUUCAAGAAUCAGUUAGGUUCCUCACUGCAAGAAAUAAAAUGUCAGGCAGUGAAUGAAUUAUAUUUUCAGAAGUAAAGCAAAGAAGCUAUAACAUGUUAUGUACAGUACACUCUGAAAAGAAAUCUGAAACAAGUUAUUGUAAUGAUAAAAAUAAUGCACAGGCAUGGUUAC
rnacentral:lncRNA from 1 species